rnacentral:tRNA from 1 species
GCCGGGGUGGCAGAACGGUAAUGCACUCGUCUCGAAAACGAGCGUCCUUUGGACUCACAGGUUCGAAUCCUGUCCCCGGCG